GUGCCAGCAGCCGCGGUAAUACGUAGAGUACUAGCGUUGUCCGGAAUUAUUGGGCGUAAAGAGCUCGUAGGUGGUUUGUCGCGUCUGCUGUGGAAACGUGCCGCUUAACGGUGCGCGUGCAGUGGGUACGGGCGGACUAGAGUGCAGUAGGGGAGUCUGGAAUUCCUGGUGUAGCGGUGAAAUGCGCAGAUAUCAGGAGGAACACCGGUGGCGAAGGCGGGACUCUGGGCUGUUACUGACGCUGAGGAGCGAAAGCAUGGGGAG
rnacentral:rRNA from 1 species